ACGGACCUACGGGAGGCAGCAGUGGGGAAUAUUGGGCAAUGGGCGCAAGCCUGACCCAGCAACGCCGCGUGAAGGAAGAAGGCUUUCGGGUUGUAAACUUCUUUUCUCAGGGACGAAGAAAGUGGCGGUACCUGAGGAAUAAGCCACGGCUAACUACGUGCCAGCAGCCGCGGUAAUACGUAGGUGGCAAGCGGUAUCCGGAUUUACUGGGGGGAAAGGGCGGGUAGGCGGGGAAGCAA
rnacentral:rRNA from 1 species